UACGUAGGGGCAAGCGUUGUCCGGAUUUACUGGGCGUAAAGAGCGUGUAGGCGGCCAAACAGGUCCGUUGUGAAAACUGGAGGCUCAACCUCCAGACGUCGACGGAAACCGUAUGGCUAGAGUCCGGAAGAGGAGAGUGGAAUUCCUGGUGUAGCGGUGAAAUGCGCAGAUAUCAGGAGGAACACCGGUGGCGAAGGCGGAUCUCUGGGCCUUACCUGACGCUGAGGCGCGAAAGCUAGGGGAGCAAACAGG
rnacentral:rRNA from 1 species